GCCUUGCUAGCUCAAUCGGUAGAGCGUGAGACUCUUACAUGCUGUCCUUAACGGACUAAAAUGACGUAAAGUGAUCAUCUCAAGGUUGGGGGUUCGACCCCCCCGUGGGGCU
rnacentral:tRNA from 1 species